AUUGAACGCUGGCGGCAGGCUCAACACAUGCAAGUCGAGCGGGGUGAUGGUGCUUGCACUAUCACUUAGCGGCGGACGGGUGAGUAAUGCUUAGGAAUCUGCCUAUUAGUGGGGGACAACAUCUCGAAAGGGAUGCUAAUACCGCAUACGUCCUACGGGAGAAAGCAGGGGAUCACUUGUGACCUUGCGCUAAUAGAUGAGCCUAAGUCGGAUUAGCGAGUUGGUGGGGUAAAGGCCUACCAAGGCGACGAUCUGUGGCGGGUCUGAGAGGAUGAUCCGCCACACUGGGACUGGGACACGGCCCAGACUCCUACGGGAGGCAGCAGUGGGGAAUAUUGGACAAUGGGGGGAACCCUGAUCCAGCCAUGCCGCGUGUGUGAAGAAGGCCUUAUGGUUGUAAAGCACUUUAAGCGAGGAGGAGGCUCUUUUGGUUAAUACCCAAGACGAGUGGACGUUACUCGCAGAAUAAGCACCGGCUAACUCUGUGCCAGCCGCCGCCGUAA
rnacentral:rRNA from 1 species